GACGAACGCUGGCGGCGUGCUUAACACAUGCAAGUCGAACGGAAAGGCCCUGCUUUUGUGGGGUGCUCGAGUGGCGAACGGGUGAGUAACACGUGAGUAACCUGCCCUUGACUUUGGGAUAACUUCAGGAAACUGGGGCUAAUACCGGAUAGGAGCUCCUGCUGCAUGGUGGGGGUUGGAAAGUUUCGGCGGUUGGGGAUGGACUCGCGGCUUAUCAGCUUGUUGGUGGGGUAGUGGCUUACCAAGGCUUUGACGGGUAGCCGGCCUGAGAGGGUGACCGGCCACAUUGGGACUGAGAUACGGCCCAGACUCCUACGGGAGGCAGCAGUGGGGAAUAUUGCACAAUGGGCGGAAGCCUGAUGCAGCAACGCCGCGUGCGGGAUGACGGCCUUCGGGUUGUAAACCGCUUUCGCCUGUGACGAAGCGUGAGUGACGGUAAUGGGUAAAGAAGCACCGGCUAACUACGUGCCAGCAGCCGCGGUGAUACGUAGGGUGCGAGCGUUGUCCGGAUUUAUUGGGCGUAAAGGGCUCGUAGGUGGUUGAUCGCGUCGGAAGUGUAAUCUUGGGGCUUAACCCUGAGCGUGCUUUCGAUACGGGUUGACUUGAGGAAGGGUAGGGGAGAAUGGAAUUCCUGGUGGAGCGGUGGAAUGCGCAGAUAUCAGGAGGAACACCAGUGGCCAAUGCGGUUCUCUGGGCCUUUCCUGACUCUGAGGAACGAAAAGCGUGGGGAGCGAACAGGCCUUAAAUCCCCUGGUAGUCCACGCCUGUAAACGGUGGGUACUAGGUGUGGGGUCCAUUCCACGGGUUCCGUGCCGUAGCUAACGCUUUAAGUACCCCGCCUGGGGAGUACGGCCCCAGGGCUAAAACUCAAAGGAAUUGACGGGGCCCCGCACAAGCGGCGGAGCAUGCGGAUUAAUUCGAUGCAACGCGUAGAACCUUACCUGGGUUUGACAUGGAUCGGGAGUGCUCAGAGAUGGGUGUGCCUCUUUUGGGGUCGGUUCACAGGUGGUGCAUGCCUGUCGUCAGCUCGUGUCGUGAGAUGUUGGGUUAAGUCCCGCAACGAGCGCAACCCUUGUUCACUGUUGCCAGCACGUUAUGGUGGGGACUCAGUGGAGACCGCCGGGGUCAACUCGGAGGAAGGUGGGGAUGACGUCAAGUCAUCAUGCCCCUUAUGUCCAGGGCUUCACGCAUGCUACAAUGGCUGGUACAGAGAGCUGGCGAGCCUGUGAGGGUGAACGAAUCUCGGAAAGCCGGUCUCAGUUCGGAUUGGGGUCUGCAACUCGACCUCAUGAAGUCGGAGUCGCUAGUAAUCGCAGAUCAGCAACGCUGCGGUGAAUAAGUUCCCGGGGCU
rnacentral:rRNA from 1 species